rnacentral:rRNA from 1 species
GAGUUUGAUCCUGGCUCAGAGCGAACGUUGGCAGUGUGUCUUAAGCACGCAAGUCGAACGGCAGCAGGCCAUGUAGCAAUAUAUGGUGCUGGCGAGUGGCGAACUGGUGAGUAACACGUAAGAAUCUGCCCUAAGGUGGGGGAUAACUCAUGGAAACAUGAGCUAAUACCGCAUAAUGCGAAGCUUAUAGAGAUAUAAGUUUUGUUAAAGGAGAAAUCCGCCAUAGGAUGAGCUUGCGUCCCAUUAGCUAGUUGGCGGGGUAAAUGCCCACCAAGGCUAUGAUGGGUAGCUGGCCUGAGAGGGUGGUCAGCCACACUGGGACUGAGAUACGGCCCAGACUCCUACGGGAGGCAGCAGCUAAGAAUCUUCCUCAAUGGGGGAAACCCUGAAGGAGCGACACUGCGUGCAGGAUGAAGGCCCUUUGGGUUGUAAACUGCUUUUGCAGGGGAGAAAUAACCGAAUGGGAUGAUAGUACUCUGCGAAUAAGUCCCGGCUAACUACGUGCCAGCAGCCGCGGUAAUACGUAAGGGGCGAACGUUGCUCGGAAUCACUGGGCGUAAAGGGCCGGUAGGUGGCUUUAUAAGUCGGUUGUCAAAUACCUAUGCUCAACGUGGGAGAGGCGACCGAUACUGUAGAGCUUGAGUAGAGGAUGGGAUGAUGGAAUACCCGGUGUAGGGGUGAAAUCUGUUGAUAUCGGGUAGAACACCGAUGGCGAAAGCGAUCAUCUAGCCUCAUACUGACACUCAACGGCGAAAGCCAGGGGAGCGAACGGGAUUAGAUACCCCGGUAGUCCUGGCCAUAAACGAUGCAUGCUAGGUAUUGGCACCGCGUUGGUGCUGGUACCGCAGCUAACGC